GUGUUUGUAGCUCAGCUGGAUAGAGCAUCGGCCUUCUAAGCCGAGGGUCCAGGGUUCGAAUCCCUGCAAGCACA
rnacentral:tRNA from 1 species